CCAGCAGCCGCGGUAAUUCCAGCUCCAAUAGCGUAUAUUUAAGUUGUUGCAGUUAAAAAGCUCGUAGUUGGAUUUCGGGUGGGUGCGAGCGGUCGGCCUUUGGUCAGUACUGCCCGCGCCUACCUUUCUGCCGGGGACGUGCUCCUGGGCUUCACUGUCCGGGACACGGAAUCGGCGAGGUUACUUUGAGUAAAUUAGAGUGUUCAAAGCAAGCCUACGCUCUGAAUACAUUAGCAUGGAAUAACACGAUAGGACUCUGGCUUAUCUUGUUGGUCUGUAAGACCGGAGUAAUGAUUAAGAGGGACAGUCGGGGGCAUUCGUAUUUCAUUGUCAGAGGUGAAAUU
rnacentral:rRNA from 1 species